GUGGGGAAUCUUGCGCAAUGGGCGAAAGCCUGACGCAGCCAUGCCGCGUGAAUGAUGAAGGUCUUAGGAUUGUAAAAUUCUUUCACCGGGGACGAUAAUGACGGUACCCGGAGAAGAAGCUCCGGCUAACUUCGUGCCAGCAGCCGCGGUAAUACGAAGGGGGCUAGCGUUGCGCGGAAUUACUGGGCGUAAAGGGCGCGUAGGCGGACAGCUUAGUCAGAGGUGAAAGCCCAGGGCUCAACGUUGGAAUUGCCUUGGUGACUGACUGGCUUGAGUUUGGGAGAGGUGAGUGGAACUCCGAGUGUAGAGGUGAAAUUCGUAGAUAUUCGGAAGAACACCGGUGGCGAAGGCGACUCACUGGCCCAAUACUGACGCUGAGGCGCGAAAGCGUGGGGAGCAAACAGGAUUAGAUACCCCGGUAGUCC
rnacentral:rRNA from 1 species